UGCGGGGUGGAGCAGCCUGGUAGCUCGUCGGGCUCAUAACCCGAAGGUCGUAGGUUCGAAUCCUGCCCCCGCUACCA
rnacentral:tRNA from 1 species